GCAAAGAGCUUCUGCAGAGAGGCAUACACUGAUUUAGCAACAGUUCACAAUUCAUCAGAUAUGAAUAUUUUGAUCGCUUUAGUUCUGGAUACUAGAGCAAGAGCCUGGAUAGGACUGGAAUUUGGGAAUGUAUCAAAGUGGCAUUGGUCCAUGCCUGAUCACAAAGUAGACUUCUUUAGUUGGAAAGAAGGAGAACCACAAAAAUCUACUCAAGACGCUUGUGCAGCAAUGGAUCCAACUGGCAAAUGGUUUGAAAGUGACUGCAAUACCAAGAGAAAAUUUGUUUGUCAUGGUAAUGGUAGUGGUCCCAUUUUCAUUGCAAAGACCAAUUCAUGGAGGGAUUCUCAGAAUAUUUGUAGAGACUUAUCUUCUGACCUGGUUAGCAUACACACAGCUGGAGAAAAUGAGGCAGUGCACAAUGUAUCCCUGUUGGAAAAUGUAUGGAUUGGCCUCUUCAAAGAUCCGUGGAAGUGGUCUGAUGGAAGCAGCUCAUCGUUCCGUUACUGGAAACCCAACCAAACCUAAUUAUCUUAAAAAUGACCAUUGUGUUGCUGCCGUAUUCAAAGAUAAAGGGCAAUGGAAUGACUUGAAAUGCAAUGUCAAACAAAAACUUAUUGUCAUGGGGCAAUUAAAUCAAAACCAACGUUAACAACCACCAAAUGGGCAAAACCUCAACAAACCUUUACAACAGGACAAAUGCAAACAAACCCGACAACCCAGCUGACCAAUGUGAUCACCCCAACUCAACAAUCAGCCACCAACCAUGUAACCACCAAACCAGAAAUAACCAUCAAUGAAGUGCCAACAGGAAAAACCAC